rnacentral:misc_RNA from 1 species
UAUUCUUUUGAUCCAUUUGAUCCAACAAUCAUUCAUUUGAUUCGUUGUUCUUGGAUCGACAUUGGACUUUUAUCAUUAAUCGUCCUGAAUUCAUACACGGAUUGUUCGUGAUAAAGGGAGUGCUUGCACUUGUUAUAUCCAUCGAUCAAUCCAUCCACCUUUUAU